GGGUUGUGAGGUUAAGCGACUAAGCGUACACGGUGGAUGCCCUGGCAGUCAGAGGCGAUGAAGGACGUGCUAAUCUGCGAUAAGCGUCGGUAAGGUGAUAUGAACCGUUAUAACCGGCGAUUUCCGAAUGGGGAAACCCAGUGUGAUUCGUCACACUAUCGUUAAGUGAAUACAUAGCUUAACGAAGCGAACCGGGGGAACUGAAACAUCUAAGUACCCCGAGGAAAAGAAAUCAACCGAGAUUCCCCCAGUAGCGGCGAGCGAACGGGGAGGAGCCCAGAGUCUGAAUCAGCGCGUGUGUUAGUGGAACGGUCUGGAAAGUCCGGCGGUACAGGGUGAUAGCCCCGUACACUAAAAUGCACACGUUGUGAACUCGAAGAGUAGGGCGGGACACGUGGUA
rnacentral:rRNA from 1 species